UUUCCGUAGGUGAACCUGCGGAAGGAUCAUUAUUGAAUAACUUGGUGUUGAUGCUGGCUCCUCUGGGGCAUGUGCUCGCAUCAUAUUAUUUAUCUAUCUCUUGUGCACCUUUUGUAGUCUUGAACGAACCUCUCGCAGUCAAUGCGGUUUGGGAGCCUGGGCGCGAGCCCUUCUCCUGCUUCUUCAAGGCUAUGUUUUCAUAUACACUAUAAAGUUACAGAAUGUCUUUUAACGAUUGCGCUUGUCGUAGUCAUUAAACCUAUACAACUUUCAGCAACGGAUCUCUUGGCUCUCCCAUCGAUGAAGAACGCAGC
rnacentral:misc_RNA from 1 species